CUUCCGGGGUAUGGAGCCUCGAAUAGUUCCAAACAACCAUUUUACGGCGUAGGAGAUCAUCCAUUUCCAUUGCUGGCCGUCGAGUAACUUCUGAGACGACCGAUUGCCUGCUGGUUUGUGAGCUCGACUUCGCCAUGUGAAGUUGCCUUAUUAGGUCCUCCACAGUCGCCCCAUCGGUCCCUGGCAGUCUGGUUCCUGGAGCAGCUGGCCCUGGAUCACCUGCCCCUGAAUCACCUGCCCCUGGCAAAGUGGCCUCUUGAUUGCUCUGUGUCUCCUGUCAUGCCCUUUUCAUCGCUCUUGAAGUCCACCUCAAUUUCUCCCUCAAUCUCUGUAAUAAUUACAAGGUAAUGUUGCUGUUAUAUGUAUUUUGCCUUUGCAUUUGCAACUACUGUCAUCUCCAAUGUCAGAAAAUUAAUUAAAGCGAAUCAUUUCUGUAAUGUGAAUUAAAUCAUCUGCCACAAUCAGAAACCAAUAAAAUGGAGCUACCGGCAAUUGUU